GUGCCUAAUACAUGCAAAGUCGAGCGAGCUUGCCUAUUGAAAUUCUUCGGAAUGGACAUAGAUCAAGCUAGCGCGGAUGGGGUGAGUAACGCGUGGGUAACCCUGCCCUUAAGUCUGGGAUACCAUUUGGAAAACAGAUGCUAAUACCGGAUAAAAAGCUACUUUCGCAUGAAAGAAGUUUAAAAAGGCGGCGUAAGCUGUCGCUAAAGGAUGGACCUGCGAUGCAUUAGCUAGUUGGUAAGGUAACGGCUUACCAAGGCGAUGAUGCAUAGCCGAGUUGAGAGACUGAUCGGCCACAUUGGGACUGAGACACGGCCCAAACUCCUACGGGAGGCAGCAGUAGGGAAUUUUCCACAAUGGACGCAAGUCUGAUGGAGCAACGCCGCGUGAGUGAAGAAGGUUUUCGGAUCGUAAAGCUCUGUUGUUGGUGAAGAAGGAUAGAGGUAGUAACUGGCCUUUAUUUGACGGUAAUCAACCAGAAAGUCACGGCUAACUACGUGCCAGCAGCCGCGGUAAAU
rnacentral:rRNA from 1 species